GGUAGUGUGGGGAGGGGCAGAAAAAGAGAAAGAAUCUCAAACAGAUUUCCCAUGAGCGGGAAGCCAGAGGCAGGUCUGGAUCUCUCAAGCUCUCCAUCUCACAAUCCUGAGAUCAUGACCUGGGACCAAAUCAAGGGUCCAGCACUCCACUACCUGAGCCAGCCAGGUGCCCCCUCCCACGACAUUUCUUUGGGAGUGUCAGUAGACAUUGAUGAAUACGGAUUUGCAGAGCUGAUUUUUAUCUUGAAGUGAUCUCUAUGCUCAAUACGGGCCUCGAACUCACAACCCCAAGCUCGAGAGUCGUCGUGGGCUCUACCCACUGAGCCAGCCACACGCCCCUGGGACAUUGAAAGAACAUAUUCUUUGUGAGGAAAGGUGGGACACUUCAUAAAUAAGCCUUUAAAAUAUUUUUUUACAUUUUAGAUUGAUCGAAUUAAUUAAAUGAUUAAAUAUCAGGAUGAUAGUUAAGAAAUAUAAUCUGAAUUCCAAAAUAUGGAUUUAAAAUAG
rnacentral:lncRNA from 12 species